rnacentral:lncRNA from 1 species
AGUGGAAGCAUUGUUAAGAUCUGAACUAACAGUGUCUCCUUCAAAAUUUUAACUUUAUUUGCAUUUCUACAGAUGGAGAAAACAAGCUUCAUGAAAGAAAACCAGAACAUGUCCUGGAGAUUGCUUCCACCAGGAUGGAGGUUGUUCUUUGAAGAUCCCAUGGAGAAGCACAUCCAUUCCGAUGACUUGGGACCACCUGUGAACUCUCGCAGCCAGGGCUACUAUAAUCAUAUGGAUUCCUAGGAAAUGUUUCUGACCUCGCUAGAUAAAAAUGAGAGAAGGAAUCCUUACUGCCUUCUGACCAG